CAGGAGUGAAGCUGCUCUCUGAUGGGCUGAAGGAUCCACACUGUACACUGGAGAUACUGUGUCUGUGUGGGUGUAAUCUGACUGAGGAAAGUUGUAGAGUUCUGUCCUCAGUUCUCAGCUCAAACUCCUCCAGUCUGAGAGAACUGAACCUCAGAAUUCACUCAGGAUUCAGGAGUGAAGCUGCUCUCUGAUGGACAGAAGGAUCCACACUGUACACUGGAGAUACUGAGAUUGUUCAGAAUUCAGCAGCGAGGCUUUUAACUGGAACCAGCAGAAGAUCUCACAUCACACCAGUUUUAUACUCUCUUCACUGGUUACCAAUCAAAUAUAGAAUUGAUUUUAAAAUUUUGGUCCUCACUUAUAGAGCCCUUCAUGGGAAUGCUCCUGGGUACAUCACUGACCUGUUGACCCCUUAUGGCUCUUCGAGAGCAUUGAGGUCAUCAGGUCAAAAUCUGCUUGUGGUCCCUAAAACCCAUUUUAAAACUCGGGGGGAUCUUUCUUUUCAGUCUGUGGCCCCCAGAUUGUGGAAUGCGUUGCCCCCGUCUCUGCGUGUGGCUGAUUCUGCUGAUUCCUUUAAAAAGCAACUGAAGACACUCUUAUUUAGACAAGCUUUUAGCUGAUUGGGCUUUUAUGGUUUCAUCCCUGUUGUUUUAUAAUUGUAGUUUUAUCAUCUCUAUAAAUUUUUCUUUUUACUUUGUAAGAUUGUUUUAUUGUACUUUUAAGUUUUAUUGUUAUAUUUUGUAAAGCACUUUGUGAUUUUAUCUGUGAAAUAAAGCUAUAUAAAUAAACC